AUUGAACGCUGGCGGCAUGCUUUACACAUGCAAGUCGAACGGUAACAGGCCGCAAGGUGCUGACGAGUGGCGAACGGGUGAGUAAUGCAUCGGAACGUGCCCAGUCGUGGGGGAUAACGCAGCGAAAGCUGCGCUAAUACCGCAUACGAACUAUGGAUGAAAGCGGGGGACCGUAAGGCCUCGCGCGAUUGGAGCGGCCGAUGUCAGAUUAGGUAGUUGGUGGGGGAAAGGCUCACCAAGCCAACGAUCUGUAGCGGGUCUGAGAGGACGACCAGCCUCACUGGGACUGAGACACGGCCCAGACUCCUACGGGAGGCAGCAGUGGGGAAUUUUGGACAAUGGGCGCAAGCCUGAUCCAGCAAUGCCGCGUGCAGGAAGAAGGCCUUCGGGUUGUAAACUGCUUUUGUACGGAACGAAACGGCUCUGGUUAAUACCUGGGGCUAAUGACGGUACCGUAAGAAUGAGCACCGGCUAACUACGUGCCAGCAGCCGCUGUAACAC
rnacentral:rRNA from 1 species